rnacentral:tRNA from 1 species
GUGGGUAUGGCUCAGUGGUGCAGUGUGGACUUAGCAUGAGGGAGGCCCUGGGUUCAAUCCCCAAUACCCAAA